ACUCCAUGAUUCGGGCAAAUUCGUAUCAACUCUUUAAAGCGUUCCUACGCUUCAUACAGACUUUCUCCAUCAUACAUUUGAAAGGAAGCUAUAUCAGCCCUCACUUGAGCUU